AUCCUGGCUCAGGAUGAACGCUAGCGGCAGGCUUAACACAUGCAAGUCGAGGGGCAGCAUGAGACGGAGAUUCGUCGAAGUCUUGAUGGCGACCGGCGCAAGGGUGCGUAACGCGUGAGCAACUUGCCCGUUUCUGGGGAAUAACCGUUGGAAACGACGACUAAUACCCCAUAGUAUCCGAUUGAGGCAUCUCUUUGGGAUUAAAGAAAUUCGGAAACGGAUAGGCUCGCGUGACAUUAGCUAGACGGCGGGGUAACGGCCCACCGUGGCAACGAUGUCUAGGGGUUCUGAGAGGAAGGUCCCCCACACUGGAACUGAGACACGGUCCAGACUCCUACGGGAGGCAGCAGUGAGGAAUAUUGGUCAAUGGUCGAGAGGCUGAACCAGCCAUGCCGCGUGAAGGUGACGGCCCUAUGGGUCUUAAACUUCUUUUGUAAGGGAGCAAUAAGGGUCACGUGUGGUCUGAUGAGAGUACCUUACGAAUAAGCAUCGGCUAACUCCGUG
rnacentral:rRNA from 1 species